rnacentral:rRNA from 1 species
AAUGAACGUUGGCGGCAUGGAUUAGGCAUGCAAGUCGGGGGAAUCCCAGCAAUGGGGGAACCGGCGUAAGGGGCAGUAAGGCAUGGGUACCUACCUUGGGGUUCGGGAUAGCCAUCAGAGAUGGUGGGUAAUACCGGAUGACGUCGUGAGACCAAAGAUUUAUCGCCCUUAGAGGGGCCCAUGUGAUAUUAGCUAGUUGGUGGGGUAACGGCCCACCAAGGCGAAGAUGUCUAGCGGGUGUGGGAGCACGACCCGCGCCACUCGCACUGAGACACUGGCGAGACACCUACGGGUGGCUGCAGUCGAGGAUCUUCGGCAAUGAGCGCAAGCUUGACCGAGCGAGGCCGCGUGAGCGAUGAAGGCCUUCGGGUUGUAAAGCUCUUUAGUGGGGGAGAAAAGCCGCAAGGUGUGAUCUAUCCCAAAAAUAAGCACGGGCUAAGUUCGUGCCAGCAGCCGCCUCA